rnacentral:piRNA from 1 species
UGUGUACUGAAAACUGCAGACUUCUGCCC